rnacentral:rRNA from 1 species
AUUAACGCUAGCGGCAGGCAUAAUACAUGCAAGUUGAACGGCAGCACAGGUAGCAAUACCGGGUGGCGAGUGGCGCACGGGUGCGUAACACGUAUGCAACCUACCCUAUACAGGCGAAUAACCUUUAGAAAUGAGGGCUAAUACGCCGUGGUAUUAUCUUGGGGCAUCUUGAGAUAAUUAAAGAUUUAUCGGUAUAGGAUGGGCAUGCGUCCCAUUAGUUAGUUGGUAGGUAACGGCCUACCAAGGCUAUGAU